GGGGGUUAGGCCCGGUCUGCAGCUGGCUGGCGGAGUGGAGGGCUAGGCUAGGCCAGACCGUACCGUGCCGUAAGAAGGGUUGGGCCUAGCGCGGGAAGGCCGGCGAAACGGAGGAGAGGUUGAACUACAUGAGACAAAUAGAGUAUAUGUAGAAUGAUUUGAAAAUAUUUUUGAGCUCUAUGUUUUGGGUUGAGCCCAUAUUAAUAGUUGUCACACGCACACUGAGUCUUAAUUAUGGACGUGGCCGGGGCCCGCUGUCUUCGGGUGCCUGGCAAAACAAAACGUGGCCUAUAGUUCAGAUCAAUGCACACUGUUACACUUGAGAGAAACAUUUGUUGGGUUCGAGUGUUGGACUGAGACUCAAGAAAUGAGAGUCCUAGGCCCGCCCAGUUCGGCCGUGAAACUCGGUGGGCUAAGUUUUAAUCUAGUCACUGACUGUUUGCUUAACCUAACUCGCAGGGUUUUUGUGAAAAGAAAAGGAGUUCUUGAAAAUGAGAAGUUCACUGAAUAGUUUUGGUAACACCACGGCGGAGAUGUCAGAAUAUAUCCGGGUUACUGAAGAUGAGAAUGAAGAACCCAUUGAGAUUCCUUCAGAGGAUGAUGGGACUGUGUUGCUCUCUACAGUUACUGCUCAGUUUCCAGGGGCCUGCGGCCUGCGCUACAGAAACCCUGUGUCUCAGUGUAUGAGAGGGGUCAGAUUAGUGGAAGGAAUUCUGCAUGCACCAGAUAAUGGCUGGGGAAAUCUGGUAUAUGUUGUUAAUUAUCCCAAAGAUAACAAGAGGAAGAUGGAUGAAACAGAUGCCUCGUCAGCUGUUAAAGUGAAACGAGCAGUGCAGAAAACCUCUGAUCUGAUAGUUUUGGGUCUUCCAUGGAAAACAACAGAACAGGAUCUGAAGGAAUAUUUCAGCACUUUUGGAGAGGUUCUCAUGGUGCAGGUGAAGAAGGACAUCAAAACUGGCCACUCCAAAGGGUUUGGUUUUGUCAGAUUUACAGACUACGAAACCCAGGUGAAAGUCAUGUCUCAGCGCCACAUGAUAGAUGGAAGAUGGUGCGACUGCAAGCUCCCGAAUUCCAAGCAAAGUCCAGAUGAACCUUUGCGUAGCAGGAAGGUGUUUGUUGGGCGCUGCACCGAAGACAUGACUGCCGAUGAGCUCCGUCAGUUUUUUUCGCAGUAUGGAGAAGUGGUUGAUGUCUUCAUCCCCAAACCCUUCAGAGCUUUUGCCUUUGUUACAUUUGCUGAUGAUCAGGUUGCCCAGUCCCUUUGUGGCGAGGACUUGAUCAUAAAAGGAAUCAGCGUCCAUAUAUCCAAUGCUGAACCUAAGCAUAAUAGCAGUAGACAACUAGAAAGAGGUGGAAGAUUUGGUGGUAAUCCAGGAGGCUUUGGGAAUCAGGGUGGAUUUCCUAACAGGGGGGGAGGCGGUGGAGGUGGAGGGUUGGGAAACAACCAGGGCAGCAACAUGGGUGGUGGGAUGAACUUUGGGGCCUUUAGCAUCAACCCAGCCAUGAUGGCAGCAGCUCAGGCAGCGCUGCAAAGCAGUUGGGGAAUGAUGGGGAUGCUAGCAAGCCAGCAGAAUCAGUCUGGGCCAUCAGGGAACAGCCAGCCACAAGGCAACAUGCAGAGGGAGCAAAACCAGGGCUUCAGUUCAGGAAGCAAUUCUUACGGAGGCUCGAACUCUGGUGCAGCGAUCGGGUGGGGCUCCUCAAAUACAGGCUCUAGCAGUGGGUUUAAUGGAGGUUUUGGAUCAAGCAUGGAUUCCAAAUCAUCUGGCUGGGGAAUGUAGAGAACCUAACACUGACUCUUUGGUGGGAAAUCAGAUUUUUUUUUCUAGAGCUCCUGGUAAGUAUAUUAUAAGAUGCAUAUACUAAAACGAAAACAAAAAAAAAACUCCAAAUCAAUUUGUUCAGCGUGUAGUAUAUUUCAACAGUAUUUUUGACACUUUUUCUUUUGUAAGGGGGGAAAAAAAGAAAAGAUUAAAUGGAGUUUUAUAGGUUUUGUUACAUUGAGUUGGAAUACAUGAGUUGGGAUAUUGAGUGGCUGAAAGAGAACUGCUGUUUGCCUGACUGGUAAACGGACGCGCUGCAAUUUGGUAGGAAUUUGUAAAAAAAAUUUGAUUCCUCAUUUCCUAGUCAGCUGAGAUCUUUGCAUGUUUCAAAAAUGGAAGCCAUUUUUCAGAAACUGCAUCCUAUCCUUGUUAGUUUUUUUUCUUUUACAAUUUAAUUUGAUCCCCCGCCAUAAGAAUUUCUCUCUCUCUUUCUCUCCCUCCCCCUCCCCCCAAAUGUCCUGUGUGGAGAAUGCAAUGUUGGUGUCGGCUUUUUUUCCUUUUAACACUGUCUCCCCUCCUCAUACUAAAGUACGGUAUGAAGACCUCAUUUAAUCCUUGCAGUUCAUCUCAUUUCAAAUGUGUAUGGAAGAAGCACUUCAUUGAAAGCAGUGCAGUAAAAAAACACACACACACACACACAAAACAAAAAAACCCUGCCUUAGGAAUAUUCCUGUCUCCAUGCUUUCCUCAUCCAAGACUCCUUCAUCACACUGCACAUGCUACGUCUUAAGACGUUGAUACCCAGUAGCUUGGCUCCAGUCCCAUCUUGGUAGCGUUUUGUGAUAUACACAUCUGAAAUCCGGUUCUGCCAAAUGAGGUACCCCAUCCCUGGUGAGCAAUUCCCUCUAGGGUACUGGGUGUUGGAGAUAAGAGGCCUUUGAACCCAUCUGUGGUAUUGACCUAUUUCAGUGUACUCUACUUAGAUAACUGAGUUGGUGGUACAGUAGUGAUAAUACCCCACUUAAGGGAAUACUGCCAGAACAGUUAGGUUUUCCUGUGUUGAACAACAGGAUCCGCAAGAUUAUGGACCAAGUAGUCCUAAUUGUUACACCACUGGUGUCAGCCUAUUUAUUAUUUACUUGAUAAAAACGUACAGCUUCAGUUUUGUAGACUGUGUAAGCACCAAAUGCAUAAAUGACCUACUUAAGUGGGUAUAGUCCUGUUUUUGUGAAAAUUGUCCCAGUACCCUGGAAGAUUUCCUUCCUGCUUUCAUCUGCUUUAAAUCCUUAGAAAAGACACUGAUGGACACUUUAAAAAAGGGUUGUUGGGGCUUAUGCUGGCAUUACUGGUGAAUGGUAAAAUCCAUAUAAAAUCCAGUACGUGGUUCUCCAUGUGAAACAAAAUCUGUCAAUGUUCCAGAGAACAAAUAUUUGUUAAUGAAUUGAUUAACCUUUUCUGUACCUAAAUCAGAUCUCUUGCCAAACUCUGUACCAUCUGAAUUUUGCAUUUUAGUACUUGCACUAAUACCAUCUAUUGCUGCUGAAUAACACUUAAUAUGGUAUUCUUGGACUUCCAACGGCUAAACUGUGUCAACCCCGAGAAGGAUCAAGAGGGCCAAAUUUGUGUGGGUGUGAAUUGAGUCUUGAAGCACUUUGGUCUCAGCAGUUGCAAAUGUAAUGUUGCAGCUGAUUGAACAACACCUCUGGGGGUCUUGCCGUGUUCCUCUGAGCCACAUCUAUGGGAUAUUUUUUUGUUUUUGUUUUGCUGUUGGUACUGCCUACUGAUAAGAACAGAACAGUGUUUGAGAUAUUUUCUUUGCAGUAUUUUAUAAAAACUCAAGAUUAGCUCCUGCUGAUGUUGAACAGCUAGUCUCCUGAAUUGGCUGUAGAAGAAAAAUCAUUUAGAUCCAAUGCCUGUGAUUUGCAAAGAGAAUGGAAGAAAUUGUAGAAGGCAAGUCUGUCAACAGCAAUUAAAGUAGCCACGAAGUUUCACUCUUGAGACUUGGAGCAUCUUUGCCUCAUGUUGGAAGAAACUGCAGAGUCACAUUGCAUGAACCAUCUGGUUCGAGAUGGCCGGUGGCUAUAAUAACGAGUCACUUUCUCAACGUUUUGUUGAGACCCAGGAAUAUGAAUUUUCUCAGAAUCAGUAAGGCCCUCUAAUCUCCCCUCUCUCAAACAGGAAUAACAUUUCUACUUCACACACAUGCUUUGAAUCAAGCUCCAGCACUGGAAGGAUCGGCACAAUCCCAAUUCUUUUGACACCUGAAUUUGAGGAAAAACAAAGGUGCUUUAACUGCAUGGGGUGUGUGACUGUUCAUGCGCAGUGUGGCAGUUCUCCCAGAGGAAUGGGAAGGGAGAUGAGUUUAAAGGUUGGCUAGUCAAAACAACGCACAGCCUCCCAGGAAGAGAACUAGACAAGUGAGGCAGAUGUACUGAUACCUAAUUUAAUACUGCUAUUUUUUAUUUUAUUUUUGCAGUUCUGUUAUAUCUAAGCAUAUCCUGACUGAGCUGUCAAUAAAAAGGUCUGGAAAUGUUUACUACACAGUACUGUAUCUAUUUACUCGUACAUCCUAGUUAGCCGGAUAGGGCUUACUGCCAAGUGAUGUGUACUUGGGCCUACAAAUGUGCAAAACCAUUUGUUGUAACAAAAGGAGAAGAGUUUGCAUUUGUUUUAUUGAAAUAAAACAGUAAAAAAAAAUCA